rnacentral:rRNA from 1 species
CCUGAUCCAGCCAUGCCGCGUGCGGGAAGAAGGCCUUCGGGUUGUAAACCGCUUUUGUUCGGGAAGAAAUCCUCUGGGCUAAUACCCCGGGGGGAUGACGGUACCGGAAGAAUAAGCACCGGCUAACUACGUGCCAGCAGCCGCGGUAAUACGUAGGGUGCGAGCGUUAAUCGGAAUUACUGGGCGUAAAGCGUGCGCAGGCGGUUGUGCAAGACAGAUGUGAAAUCCCCGGGCUUAACCUGGGAACUGCAUUUGUGACUGCACGGCUAGAGUGCGGCAGAGGGGAGUGGAAUUCCGCGUGUAGCAGUGAAAUGCGUAGAUAUGCGGAGGAACACCGAUGGCGAAGGCAGCUCCCUGGGCCUGCACUGACGCUCAUGCACGAAAGCGUGGGGAGCAAACAGGAUUAGAUACCCUGGUAGUCCACGCCCUAAACGAUGUCAACUGGUUGUUGGUCCUUCACUGGAUCAGUAACGUAGCUAACGCGUGAAGUUGACCGCCUGGGGAGUACGGCCGCAAGGUUGAAACUCAA